CACGUAGGAGGCAAGCGUUAUCCGGAUUUACUGGGCGUAAAGCGCGUGUAGGCGGUUCGGUAAGUUGGAUGUGAAAUCUCCUGGCUCAACUAGGAGAGGUCGUUCAAUACUGCCAGACUAGAGGACGGUAGAGGAAGGUAGAAUUCCCGGUGUAGUGGUGAAAUGCGUAGAUAUCGGGAGGAAUACCAGUGGCGAAGGCGGCCUUCUGGGCCGUUCCCGACGCUCAGACGCGAAAGCGUGGGUAGCGAACGGG
rnacentral:rRNA from 1 species